GCCUGGGUGGCUCAGUCGGUUGAGCGUCCGACUUCAGCUCAGGUCAUGAUCUCACGGUCUGUGGGUUCGAAUCCUGCAUCGGGCU
rnacentral:tRNA from 1 species